GAUGAACGCUAGCUACAGGCUUAACACAUGCAAGUCGAGGGGUAGCAGGGUAGCAAUACCGCUGACGACCGGCGCACGGGUGAGUAACACGUAUCCAACCUUCCCAUAACUCAGGGAUAGCCUUUCGAAAGAAAGAUUAAUACCUGGUAGUACUUAAGAAAGGCAUCUUUUUUAAGUUAAAGAUUUAUUGGUUAUGGAUGGGGAUGCGUUCCAUUAGAUAGUUGGUGAGGUAACGGCUCACCAAGUCUUCGAUGGAUAGGGGUUCUGAGAGGAAGGUCCCCCACAUUGGUACUGAGACACGGACCAAACUCCUACGGGAGGCAGCAGUGAGGAAUAUUGGUCAAUGGGCGAGAGCCUGAACCAGCCAAGUAGCGUGAAGGAUGAAGGUCCUACGGAUUGUAAACUUCUUUUAUAGUAGAAUAAAGUGAGCCACGUGUGGUUUUUUGUAUGUAUACUAUGAAUAAGGAUCGGCUAACUCCGUGCCAGCCGCCGCAGUAA
rnacentral:rRNA from 1 species